UUGGUUUGCUUCCCAUAGGUCUUGGGUUUGAACUAGGUGUUCCCUUUUCUACCUUUUUUAGUUUUUUUGUUCUUUUUUCCAUUUUUAAAAGCAUCAUAUUAUAUAUAUUUAUAGAUGCAAUUUGUUGACAGCAAUAAGACCAUGGAGGGAAUGGUUGAAGCUUCACUUCUCUCUCCCCCAUGUUAAGGGUUCAACCUCUUGUAGCCAUUUUUCAUCACCGCUUUUUUUC
rnacentral:lncRNA from 1 species